rnacentral:misc_RNA from 1 species
GAAAUGCGAUAAGUAAUGUGAAUUGCAGAAUUCAGUGAAUCAUCGAAUCUUUGAACGCACAUUGCGCCCGCCAGUAUUCUUGCGGGCAUGCCUGUCCGAGCGUCAUUUCAACCAUCAAGCCCCCGGGCUUGUGUUGGGGACCUGCGGCUGCCCGCAGGCCCUGAAAACCAGUGGCGGGCUCGCUGUCACACCGAGCGUAGUAGCAAUCACCUCGCUCAGGGCGUGCUGCGGGUUCCGGCCGUUAAACAGCCUUACAAAACCCAAGGUUGACCUCGGAUCAGGUAGGAAGACCCGCUGAACUUAAGC